UACGAAGGGGGCUAGCGUUGCUCGGAAUGACUGGGCGUAAAGGGCGCGUAGGCGGUUCAUACAGUCAGGCGUGAAAUUCCUGGGCUCAACCUGGGGGCUGCGCUUGCGACGUAUGGGCUGGAGUGCGGAAGAGGGUCGUGGAAUUCCCAGUGUAGAGGUGAAAUUCGUAGAUAUUGGGAAGAACACCGGUGGCGAAGGCGGCGACCUGGUCCGUGACUGACGCUGAGGCGCGAAAGCGUGGGGAGCAAACAGG
rnacentral:rRNA from 1 species